AGUGAACGCUGGCGGUAGGCCUAACACAUGCAAGUCGAACGGCAGCACAGUAAGAGCUUGCUCUUACGGGUGGCGAGUGGCGGACGUGUGAGGAAUACAUCGUAAUCUACUUUUUCGUGGGGGAUAACGUAGGGAAACUUACUCUAAUACCGCAUACGACCUACGGGUGAAAGCAGGGGAUCUUCGGACCUUGCGCGAUUGGAUGAGCCGAUGUCGGAUUAGUUAGUUGGCGGGGUAAAUGCCCACCAAGGCGGCGAUCCGUAGCUGGUCUGAGAGGAUGGUAGGCCGCACUGGAGCUGGACCACCGUCAAGAGUACUGAGGGACGGCGCAGUCGCCAAUAUUAGACAACGGGCGCAAACCUGACACAGUCAUACCGCGUGGGUUGAAGCAGCGUUAGGGUUGUAAAGACGUUUUGUUGGGAGAGAAACGCAGCAGGUUAAUACGCCGCUGGUCUGACGGUAACCAAAGAAUAAGCACCGGCUAACUUCGUG
rnacentral:rRNA from 1 species